CCUCACUGCCUCCUCCCCAUCCCCUACCCCUAGAGGCCUCCUGCCCUGGUCACCUACGCGUCACCUAAGCCCCGAGGCCAGGCGGCUUCUUGUCUACUAAAGACUUCCGGAGAGAGGCAUUCACCCUGUGGUCAGAGCUGGGGUUUCCAUGGAGGAGCACCACAGCCAUAAAGAAAGUUAUGGAGGCUGUGAAGUGCAAGGUCAAGAGGCUGCAUCUGGUGAAGACCUUCUUGCUGGUAGGGUCUCUCUACCUGGUCCUGAGGCAGUCCAGGGCAUCACAUGGCUGGUGAGCCCCAGAGCGGAGGACCCUGCCGAGCUGUUUCCAGACUCCUGAUCCACAGAAACCGUGAGAGGAUAACAUUGUUCUGCUUGAAGCCACUACACCUGCCGUCACUUGUCUCGCAUCAUUAGGGAACCAACGUGCUCUGGAAGACAGCAACUCUCAGGGUCCAUUCCGCUGACACCAGCGCCUCAGAUGACACAGGACGUGGCAUGGUGGCUAUUGACUCAUCAAGGGAACAGCAAUGGCCACUCUGCACCUUGCAUUCCUAUCCUUUUUUGGGCUUCAGAUCAGAAAUCGCAACUUUUGCGUGGAGAUCCUGGGCCUCCACACUGCUGGCCUCCCAUCGUCCCAAGAAUGACUCCCUGGAAAGAGCCUGUUCAGACCCUUUGUGACUGGACUCUACUGUAAGAGGAGAAUCAAAUGCUUGCAAGAAAACUGUAAAGCAGAGUUUCCUAAAAUACAUUUCAUAAGCGUGAGUGCCAGGAGUGCCUUAAAAAUGUGACUCUAUUGUCAAAUAAGUUGGGCAAUUUACUGAAGUAUACAUGAAUAUGUUAAAACCUCCAAGGAGUCCUGAAUUUAAAACAAACCUACACACAAAAACAAAGGGUGCCUGCUCGCUCAUCACACAGGUUGGAUAAGAUCGACAGGAAAAACCCCUCCAACAGCACAGCAGAGCAGCACAGAGCCCUGCCUCUCUCCAGCUGGGGAAGUCGGGAGCUGAAGUGGAAAGCUGGUUGAAGAACAAUGUGAAAAAAAUGAGGCCUGACUCAAUUCCUAAAAGCGGCUGCCUGACCUUAUGCAAGCCACAGCUUCUAUUUACAAACCCAGGAAACUGGACAAAAUACUGAAAGGAUCCCCUAAGAUAAUGAGAGUUAACAACAGAUGCAAAGCAAGGUUCUGUGGAAAUGUAAGGUCGUGUUACCACGCAGGGCUGAAAAGCUUUCCUGACUACUUUCUGAUUUGCGUAUACUAAGGACUAUUUCAAGAGGGUGACAUUUUAUGAAUUAAAGGCAUGCCACUUCCAUUCACAGUGCUGUUCUGAGAGAUUCGAUUCUGUCCUUGACAAUCUAAGAAAAUCUUAACUCUGCAUUAUGUAAAUACUAAGGACACGGGGUGUUUCGAAUGAGACCAACCUCGUAUCUCUCUCAACUCCCUCUCCUCCCGGGGCCACCCUUUUCUUUAAUUGAAAGCACAAUAAACUUAAUCAGCUGCUCCUAACGAUGCCUGCCCCAGCCUGGGAGAUUCAGCAAGGCUUGGGGCGUGCAUGACAAAGAAACACACACUCCAGAAUCUCACUUUUGUUAUUCCCCAGCCAUCUUUUGUUAUGUGGCAUGGGAAAAAUCUUAAUGAGCCUGCCCUGCUGCUGCAGAAAUUCUUGUCAGAUGAAAAGCAGCCCCUCCUUCCACCUGGCAAGGGCUUACAGAGAACACAGCAGCCCACAUCUACUCACGUUUCCUGAAACAAUCCCCUAUUUAACUUCCUAGGCAACAGAAAAUCUGAAGAAAAUGAGAUACCACAGAAGAUGAAUUUGAUGUAACAAAAAGGUGUUUUAAAAAGAUAAGUAGAGAGGCCAUCCUACAAAAUUUCAUGGCUGACAAUGGUAAAAAAGAUGCAGAAAAGGACCAUCUGGCCUGAAAAAUUCAGCCGGGGUCGGGGGAGGGGGUCCCGCAGCAGAGGCCAGGCCUUCAAGGAUGGGGAUCCUCUUCUGUCUUCCUUUUCUCAAAAUGUUUGUUGGAUGAUGGACUUAAUUUUAAAACCCCAAGUCACUGCGGUUUAGCCAGCUAUGGAUGAUGAAAGCACUACAAUCAUUGAAACUGACAAGGAGGCAGUUUCCUUCAAAAAUACGAAAACUGUACGCAGAGUACAUGGAGAAAAAUGUGACACAAGCAUUUGGACACACUACUAAACAACAACAUGGGACAAUAUAGACAACAAUUGGAAAUACACUUUGAGGAGGUAAAAAGUUCAGUAUUCACUGGCUUCCUUUUGGAGGUUGUUAAAUUGCUGAAAUUCAAAUAAAAGUCAUUGAGCCAUUGUGUCUGUCAGCUGUGCCUCUAUCUCACCCCCGGGUGGGUGGAGGUCCCCCUGGCUUU
rnacentral:lncRNA from 1 species